rnacentral:rRNA from 1 species
AUUGAACGCUGGCGGCAGGCCUAACACAUGCAAGUCGAACGAGUGGCGGACGGGUGAGUCAUGUCUGGGAAACUGCCUGAUGGAGGGGGAUAACUACUGGAAACGGUAGCUAAUACCGCAUACCAUCAGAUGUGCCCAGGUGGGAGUAGCUUGUUGGGGGGGAAACGGCUCACCAAGUCGACGAUCCCUAGCUGGUCUGAGAGGAUGACCAGCCACACUGGAACGGAGACACGGCCCAGACUCCUACGUGAGGCAGCAGUGGGGAAUAUUGGGCAAUGGGCGCAAGCCUGAUGCAGCCAUGCCGCGUGUAUGAAGAAGGGCUUCGGGUUGUAAAGGACUUUCAGCGGGGAGGCGUUACCCGCAGAAGAAGCACCGGCUAACUCCGUGCCAGCAGCCGCGGUAAUUC